GCGGCAAGAUUGCUUUUGGUGGUAUUCCUCUUCAGCUAGCUGGCUCUGAAGCCAGCUCCACUUAGGCAGAGCUCAAAACCAGUCUUCUUAACUGGAAGGCUCCAAGUUCGCUUAGUGCAUUUCUUUUUGCUGCGUGUCCAGUGUACAAAAAUCACACUUGAUCAUGUGUGCAUGUGGUGCUAGGAUCAAAGCAAGAGCCUCCUCAGGUAUGCUGGGCGAACUGUCUACUGCUGAGUUCUCUCUCCAGAUGAAAAGAAUACUUUUUGUAUGGCGUUUAAAAUUCUCCAAAUCACUAUUAUACGUGAUUCUCAUUCAGUUUUCUUUCUUUCUUUCUUUCUUUCUUUCUUUCUUUCUUUCUUUCUUUUUUUUUUUUUUUUUUUUUGGUUCUUUUUUUUGGAGCUGGGGACCGAACCCAGGGCCUUGCGCUUCCUAGGCAAGCGCUCUACCACUGAGCUAAAUCCCCAACCCUCUUUUUUUUUUUUUUAAAGAUGUAUCUAUUUUUUUUUUCGGAGCUGAGAACUGAACCCAGGGCCUUGCGCUUACUAGGCGAGCGCUCUACCACUGAGCUAAAUCCCCAACCCCAAUGUAUUUAUUUUCUGUGAGUACACUGUCACUGUCCAGACACACCAGAAGAGGGCAUCGGAUCUCAUUACAGAUGGUUGUGAGCCACCAUGUGGCUGCUGGGACUUGAACUCAGGUCCUCUGGAAGAGCGAGCAGUCAGUGCUCUUAACCUCUGAGCCAUGUCUCCAGCCCCUAUCUCAUCUUUUUUUAUACUCAAAUGUUUAAAGAAACCUAACUCCAAUACCUCCACUCAUAAAUGGAAGCAGAAAUGAACCGGGUCGUGGCAACAUCAUUAUCUAAACAUACAGACUCCCAGUGCAGUAAAGAGACCCGCAGAGGAUAGAAUGAAAAUCUAGGAUCAGCUUCUAUCUUAUACUUUACCAAGCAUCAAGAACCGCUGUGUGUAGCAGGAAUCAGAAAGAGACCAGAAGGAAGACAAAGGGCAAACAAGGCAUGAGAUCAGUAUAGACAUACAUAGCCACAUAGCCCAAGGGAAAGGGGGCAUAACAGGAAACGUAUAUAAUGUCCAUUCACUGAAUAUACCCAGUGAGCUUGCCUUUAAAAUAUAAUCAUGGGAGCUGGGCGUGGUGACACAUGCCUUUCAUCCCGACAGGUUGAUCUCUCAUUUGAGACCAGCCUGGAUUACAGGACUACACAGAAAAGUCCUGUCUCGAAGGGAGGUAAGAUAGAUAGAUAGAUAGAUAGAUAGAUAGAUAGAUAGAUAGAUAGAUAGACAGACAGACUGAUUUAUUUCACCAUGGAAAUAAUAUAUAGCAAAUACAACAUUCAGUAAAUGUCAGAAUAUGCACGAAGACUAUGAAGAUCUUAGGAAUUCAUAGGCAUCAAGUCAAGUUGAGCUGGAAUUAGUCUGAUAAGAGGAGCUUAAUCCAGAUCUCGCUAAGACUUGAGGGGCCGGAGAGACGGCUUGGUGGUUAAGAGCACAGGUUCUGUUACAGAAGACCCAGGUUUGAUUCCCAGCA